rnacentral:lncRNA from 1 species
UUUGCUUCAGCUUCGCUGCCGAGCGUCUCCCCUGAGUGGAACACCAAAAAGAACAGAACUCAGAUCAGAUCGACACCCUUUUUCAGUUGUUGCCGAGUUCUCAUCCACAAAGUCACCCUUUUUCAGUUUAUUAUACCACGACAUGCAAUUUUUACCUCCUGAGCCAGCAGCGAGCGCAAGGACAGGUUGGACAGUAAUAUCUGGGCACAUUAAACGUCUUGAACAUGAUAACCUCGAUAUACUCCCGAGUGGGACAGUAGAGGGCUCUCCAUUCAGUGUGAUGGCUUGAAAAUAACAUUUUUGGGCUGUCGAUCUGAUCUGAG